rnacentral:rRNA from 1 species
UACGUAGGGCGCAAGCGUUAUCCGGAAUUACUGGGCGUAAAGAGCUCGUAGGUGGUUUGUCGCGUUGUUCGUGAAAACUCACAGCUUAACUGUGGGCGUGCGGGCGAUACGGGCAGACUGGAGUACUGCAGGGGAGACUGGAAUUCCUGGUGUAGCGGUAGAAUGCGCAGAUAUCAGGAGGAACACCGGUGGCGAAGGCGGGUCUCUGGGCAGUAACUGACGCUGAGGAGCGAAAGCGUGGGGAGCGAACAGG